rnacentral:lncRNA from 1 species
UAUGGUUUUGACAGUGAAAAAAUAAUAAUCUGUUUCUAGUUUUCUCACUUAGUAAUGUAUAAAUAUUGUCAAAUCUAUGAAACUCUAGUAAAGUACUGCUUGUUUUUGAUGUUUUGCUUUUCGUAACAUUCUGACAGUGUUUAUUUAUUUUUUUCUUAAUAUUUUCCUUUUUUCUAUUUUCAGUUACUUUAUAUGAUUUAUGGUGUUCAGAU